AGUACCUCAGAGGAUCGUGUGUGGCUUCAACACGAGCGAAACACAUCUGCUUCUCCCUCUGGCUGUGCUCUGGAAUUUCUGCCUACUCCAUGGAAAAGCAGGGUGGCUAUUCCCACUACUCAAGGAAGGUCUUUCUCGGGCCAGCCUUUUUAAAAGCAGGACGCUGGGAUGAUCUCCAGGACACAUCUAUGAUCUCAGUGGUCUGCCCUGCAGCACGUGGCCUACUCAGCUUGUUCCAUGCUGUGCAUUCACACAGCGAGUGAAUGCUCUCUGGGCGCCAGUGGAACAUCUUUCUCCCCUACCUUGAGCCCUGAGGAUCUGCAUGAGAAGUGUUCUCAUCUUCCUGCGAGGACACUCAGUCCAGGUAGGUAGGUGAUGUGAAACCAAGCAAGUAAGAUACAGCACCUGAUCGUGAGCAUGCAGAUGAAGGCAGGACCGAGCCUAUGUCCUUUGGGUCUCUGCUCAAAUGUUCCAGGUCGAACAGGUCCUUCCAACCACAGCAUCUGUAUUAGUUACUUCUGUGUCCGCGUGAUUAAAUACCUGACAGAAAUGAGGAACAAAGGUUGAUAGUUUCAACCUAUCAUAGUGGGAAAAGCACUACAGAACUUGGUACUGGUGAGGAUGUCUCACCUAGAAACAGGCCAGUGGAUGGUAGGGGCGAUGACCUUCUAAGGCUUGUCCUCAGGACCCUCCUUCUGUCACCAGGCCUCACCUCCUAAAGGCUCCACAGCUCAUUCAAACAUAAUCUUCUUCAUCAGAGAAACAUCUCUGUGCAGUGGAGCAGUGGUCACAAUUGGUCAAAAUGCAGACCAUGCCAGCCUAGAGUGGACAUCUGUAUUACACUUCCUCCACUCAAGGCUCAGAGAGGACCUUGGAAGAGGGGCUGAAAGAUUUUAAGAGCCAGAGUGGAGAGAGAUGAACCCGUGUCUUGUGAGCGCCACAGGAUCUCUGCACUCACAGCAGCUGUGGAUGCACAAGACCUGGACAAGAGCAAGCCAGUCAACAUCCCAGCAUGGAUGGGGAAGAGAGGAGCCCUAGCUGAAGAGUUACUGACAGGCGACAGCUACUAAGUUCCGGAAGGAAAGUCAGUUUUCUUUAGGAAUGUGGUCCUUGGUAGAUUGACCAUGCUCUGGCCAAUAACCUUACAUUCCUACAUGCAUGGAGGUAAAUUGUACUCAACGGGUUAUAAGAGAGAAAGAGACCGUGAAAUUGGAGUGUGUGAGAAAGAAUCUGCUUAGAGUUGGGGUAUGUUCAAAAUACAUCAUGUGCUUACUCAAAACUCUCAAAGAAUAAAUGUAAAUAGAUUUUUAAAAAACUAAAACAAAGGAGCAAACACAAGCAUGUGGGGGCGGGGGAAUAUGCUGAAUCAGACCACAACAUCUCCUAGAAUAGAUCUCUUACCUUUGCCUGCAAGGGUUGUUUCCAUGGAAUUUCUUGAAAGCAACCAAAACCAACAUACACGCAGGUGGUGUGGAAUUGUUCUGCUGUAAAUUCUCAGCAGAAAUCACUCAUUCUCAAUCAUUUAGUGUACCCCCUCUUCUAGCAUAAGCCACGGGAGGUGAGACACUGCCUUGCUUCCCUAGUAUCCUGAUUGCCUUGAGCAAUUUUGGGCAGAAAAUACUCAAAAUAGGAACAAACCAAAUACCCCCAACGUCAAGUUCUAUUUCAAAUAUUCUUGCUUUCAAACACAUUAGCCCGUUUAAUCCUCCCAACAACCCAAUGAUGUAAGUUUGUCAGGUUCCUAUUGCCGCAUAACAAAUCACCCCCCAAAGUAAUAGUUUCAAAUUACACCACCUAUCAUUUCUUGAAAUUCUGUGGCUUGGCUGGGGCUCAGCUGGGCAGGGUUUUCUUGCUUGGGGUUUUUCUUGAGGCCGCAUUUAAUGGAAGAGUUUUGUCAGAGUUCGAACCCUCCUGAUGGGCCUCUGGGCAUUCAUCAUUCUAAGCUGGACUUCCUUAAAGAAGUGGGGGCCAGGCUCAAGAGAAACAAGCCUAAAGCUCCAGCCGUGGGCUUGGAAAUUUGAGAAUUUUAUUAGCCCUCAGCCUGAUUUAACUGGCAUAAGCAAGUCCUGAAAGCAGCUCAGCUUUAAGGAGCAGAAAUGAGUCCCCUUUCUUGAUGUAGGGAAUGCCACCACGUAUGGAAAGGUGGAUGGAUUUCUGGCAGUUGCACUUGGAGACUCCAUACCACAACAUGACUACAGCAGAGGAGAUGGAUGCUGGAGGGUUACAGACGUCUACAAGAGGAAGAGAAUGGCAGUCCUCAGGAGUGUAACUCUCUACAUUCAGUGUUCUUUGCUUCCUGGUGGCCUCUUAAUAGACACCCCCAAGUCUCUGGUGGGGAGACUGAUCUCCCCCAGGGUCUCUCAUACAUUAUAUUUCCUCAGUACACUAUCAAGCCAGGGUCCAGGGAGAUGAAGAAUAGCUGAGGCUUGGAAUUUCACCCAAGUUCCAUCCUUCUUUUUUAUGUGACCUUGAGCAAGCAUCUUAGCCUCAUCUGUGAAUGAACAGGAACAGUACUUGCCAAUACCUGCUCAUACAGGAUUCAGGGGAGAUAUAAACAAGAUGGUAUGCGCAAGGUGCACAGCAAGAGGUACCGCACCCCAAUCUUAAAGCCCAGGGUAAGUCUCCAGAUGAACCCCAAAUGAACCUCCAUAGACUAAUUUCACAAUUGUAUGUAAAGUGCGAAAACGUUCAUAACUCUACCAGUGGGUAUCUUCUCCUUGUAUUUCAAACAUAACUGAAAGGAUUAAAAUCAGCUCAAGAUAGACAUAUUGACUGGGACAAUUGUAGGGGCCCAGAGGGUGACGUCUGACUGGAUAUCCUAUAUCAACGUUUGCCCAGUGGGGAAUACUGUGAUCGACGCAUCUAUGAAUGGAGAGAUGGUCCUGAUGAGGAAGAAGGAGAACUUGCAGCAAAAUUCCCUGAAGGUGUCUCAUCAUUGCUAGGUGCAAGAUUUACCAAAAUCUCCAGGGAAGGAAGGACUCACGGGUCCGUGACUCAGGCUGGGCUGUGGUUCCUGCAUGGGUGUGAGGGGCUUCCUACCAUCAUCCCUCUGUACACCACUUGCCAUGUUUGUUUGUGGGUCCUGUAUUUGCCUACAGAAAUGCUCAAAGUAAGCACGUAGCCACCAGCCAAACCCCCAGCUCCUAAUUUAACACCCAGACACCGUCACUUCAUUUUGCAGCUGCUGGGUUAACAAGCAUUCCCCUAGCAAACCAAAAUUUGUGAAAAAGAUGAUGUUUCUCUUAUUUGUUUUCAAAUGUUUCCAUUGUAUUUUUAAAAAAUAAGACAGUGUUCCUUUUGGGGAGAAGACGGUCUACUUUGGGUUUAAACCAAACCAAAUAAUAUUUAAGGAAACAUUAAAUAAAUUAUUUAUCAUGUUGGUCAACGGGUUGGGAAAUAUAGCUUAGAUAAACACAUUUUUAAGGUCAGCCACUCUAAGGGCUGGGCUUUAUAAAAACAACCUGUGAGAAGCUUUAAUAAAUCUUAAAUAAAAAACACGAAGCAUUUGUUUCCAUUACGGAACCAUCCGCUAUUGCUAAAUAAUGGCCUCUCGAGGUGAGCUUCACCAGAGGCCCCCACACCCAGGCCGAGAAGCUGUACUAGGAAAACCCCUCUGACUGCAAACACCACUGGCCUUGCCUGGCUCUCCGUGAAAACCAUCUAGUCUUGGGGUUGCAUUUAAAUUAGAAAAAUGGACAGAGCUGGCUGACUUGGGUCAUAAAAUUGUCAAAUGAAGAUAAAUUUGUUUCUAUUCAGUGGGAGACUUCACAGUCAAAUUAGGAUGGAUGUAAGUAAAAAUAAUAAAAUAAUAAUGUGUUUUGGUUCCCUCAAAAUAAACAGGAUUGCCAGAUUC
rnacentral:lncRNA from 1 species